rnacentral:rRNA from 1 species
GAAUAUUGCACAAUGGGGGAAACCCUGAUGCAGCAACGCCGCGUGGAGGAAGAAGGUCUUCGGAUUGUAAACUCCUGUCUUCUGGGACGAAGUAUGACGGUACCAGAGGAGGAAGCCACGGCUAACUACGUGCCAGCAGCCGCGGUAAUACGUAGGUGGCGAGCGUUGUCCGGAAUUACUGGGCGUAAAGGGCGCGUAGGCGGCCUGUUAAGUCAGAUGUGAAAACCCCGGGCUCAACCUGGGGACUGCAUUUGAAACUGAUGGGCUAGAGGGUCGGAGAGGGAAGCGGAAUUCCUAGUGUAGCGGUGAAAUGCGUAGAUAUUAGGAGGAACACCAGUGGCGAAGGCGGCUUUCUGGACGAUAACUGACGCUGAGGCGCGAAAGCGUGGGGAGCAAACAG